GAUGAACGCUGGCGGCGUGCCUAAUACAUGCAAGUCGAGCGAACGGACGAGAAGCUUGCUUCUCUGAUGUUAGCGGCGGACGGGUGAGUAACACGUGGAUAACCUACCUAUAAGACUAGGAUAACUUCGGGAAACCGGAGCUAAUACCGGAUGAUAUUUUGAACCGCAUGGUUCAAAAGUGAAAGACGGUCUUGCUGUCACUUAUAGAUGGAUCCGCGCUGCAUUAGCUAGUUGGUAAGGUAACGGCUUACCAAGGCAACGAUGCAUAGCCGACCUGAGAGGGUGAUCGGCCACACUGGAACUGAGACACGGUCCAGACUCCUACGGGAGGCAGCAGUAGGGAAUCUUCCGCAAUGGGCGAAAGCCUGACGGAGCAACGCCGCGUGAGUGAUGAAGGUCUUCGGAUCGUAAAACUCUGUUAUUAGGGAAGAACAUAUGUGUAAGUAACUGUGCACAUCUUGACGGUACCUAAUCAGAAAGCAACGGCUAACUACGUG
rnacentral:rRNA from 1 species